rnacentral:rRNA from 1 species
GACGAACGCUGGCGGCGUGCCUAAUACAUGCAAGUCGAGCGGAAUGAUGAAGAAGCUUGCUUCUUCUGAUUUUAGCGGCGGACGGGUGAGUAACACGUGGGCAACCUACCUUGUAGAUUGGGAUAACUCCGGGAAACCGGGGCUAAUACCGAAUAAUCCAUUUUGCUUCAUGGCGAGAUGUUGAAAGACGGUUUCGGCUGUCACUAUAAGAUGGGCCCGCGGCGCAUUAGCUAGUUGGUGGGGUAAUGGCCUACCAAGGCGACGAUGCGUAGCCGACCUGAGAGGGUGAUCGGCCACACUGGGACUGAGACACGGCCCAGACUCCUACGGGAGGCAGCAGUAGGGAAUCUUCCACAAUGGACGAAAGUCUGAUGGAGCAACGCCGCGUGAGUGAAGAAGGUUUUCGGAUCGUAAAACUCUGUUGUAAGGGAAGAACACGUACGAGAGUAACUGCUCGUACCUUGACGGUACCUUAUUAGAAAGCCACGGCUAACUACGUG